GCAUAGUCCAGAUGGACCACCAAGAUAUAAUAUUAAAAGCAAUCACUAAUAUUUAUGAAAAGAACAAAGUUGAAGAGCAACAUAUGCAAGAAGAAGAUCAGAAUGAUAAAAAGAUGCCUACCAGAUUUGGGAAACAAAGUGAACAUCUUGAGCAUGCGAUUGAUCGUGUUCUUGUCAUGAUAUCGGAAAGAAGAAGGGCUCGUAGUCUACAUGGCACUAAUGAA